rnacentral:lncRNA from 1 species
GGCCAUGUACACAACCUGCCAAGUCACAAAGCCGGAUCCAGGAAGUGGGCUGCAGACAAAGGUUGGUACUGGGCAACAGGAAGGCCAGUUGAGCUGAUACUGUCAGAUUCCUUUUUUUUUUCUUGAAAUCUAAGGAUCAGGACGCCAAGAUGGACACUAUUACUGGCAGAACCAACGCCCACAGUCGGUCAGUUGGUCCACAGCUGUCAACCUUGUCAGAAAGCUUAGAGUAGACACGUAAGGGACUGAAAAGCUGCAUUCAAAUGCUCACUCACUCUCUUCCUGCAGACAGAACAACAAGGUAACACUUCCAUAAGGACCAUUUCUCAGCAGCACAGACAGUCAGACGCCUGUCUUUCAGGAGAAAAUGUUGGAGCGCUAGGAGAUCUGGCCUGAUUCCUCAGGAGAGACCCUCAAGGUUUAGACUUGUAACUACAACCAACAAAAAGAACAGCAUUCUUCUGAUAGACUCCACACCAGACCCAGGCCUGGUGCUACUUGGACCUUGGCCCCACCCAAUGGGAACCACCUCCCUGUGGUUAACCGGAUGUGCUGGAUCGCGAUCCCCAACAAUUUCAUUCAACAAAUGCUCAUCGUAUUGCUACCACUGCACUGAGAACGGGGGCACCAGGAAGUAGGGCACAUCACAGGGUGACAAGACGUGUCAUUUGCUUUGCCUCACCUACUUAACAAUUUUCACAAGGACCAACAAUAUGCCUGGCCCUGGCUAGUGCUGAUAAUUACAACCACGUGCAAAAUAAACGCAGCCCCUGCUGGGGGCGGGGGAGGGAGGUUAUGAACAAGCAAACAAAAAGGGAAAGUUGAAGGGCAAGGAAAGAGAAUAAAGAAAGUGUUCAUAUAAAGAAUUACAGAACCAAUCUACUUGGAUAAGAUAUCAAACUUCUGGGACCAUAAAAUGUUUCACCACCUUGGAUGUAACCUGCUAUUUUGGUAACGAGAUAUUUUCAAAUGGCAACCAGACGUAGACUUAACGCAAAUCUUAGUAUUUU